rnacentral:other from 1 species
AAUCCCCUGCGGUGCCCGCCAAGGCCAUAUAUUCCUUGAACCAAUGAUCUUGGCAUUCGGCCAGCGACCAUGCAGCCGCCGUUGUGAGCGUUCCCUGCGAAUGCACCUGAAGCGGCCGGAAGUUGGCCACUCUGAACUCCGGUUCAGGAUGCCGGUCUAGCGUCACUGCGGGGGACCC